AUGAGCCCUGCACAUGAAAACGCCAUUAAUGAAGGCUGAAGAGGAAUUGCUGGCUACCCCACCAGGAUGUGGCUGUCCCAACUCCGUAAAUCUGACCUAUACGGUCCCAAUGGAAAUGAUGAAGGUGAUCUACAUACACCCUCUCCAAGAGGGGAUGCUUUUGGAAGUAAACUGGUAUCAAGUCCUUUCGGACUGUGAAGCGUAUCUAUGGAGAGUGACUAGUCGGCUAAACGUGAUUUCUGGGGGCGAUUUUUGUCAUCAUUUUGACUGGUAUCUAUCGGUGUCUAAUCUUCAGUUUGAGCCAUUUCUCCUCACUACUUUCCGUACGGCCAUGUAGUAAUUGUGUUUGGAUUAUAAACCUUUCAUCCCAAACUGUCACAUUACUCUUAAGGCUUAAGAGGAAUAGUAGGGAUAGUGGGAACACUGGGAAUAGUUUUAUGUUCAUGAAACAUAAGUUUUAUUUUGGCAUGAAAACAAGAAGAUGGGUUUGCCCAUCAUGGGAAAAGUCUCUGUUGGCAUGAA